CGCGCACAUCCGCACGCGCACCCGACGCCGAACCGGAUCGAGCUCGCAUGCCCUGGUUGAUUCCGUGUGCUCCAGGGACUGCGUACGCGAGCAAAGGACCCCAGGGAAACCCCGCACCCCCUGUCCCGAUCUUCCCCGUUGCCACACGCCCUGGUUGGGGCGAUUGGAUCUCGUCCCGGAGCUCUGCCGUCCGCCGCCGCUCGCCGGAGGUUUUCGCCACCAGACCUAGCGGGGAGAGAGGAACAAGCUCGACCAACGUUCGCCGGAGCACACCCGCCGUUCUUGUCGCCGUUGCUGCCCGCAAAGGACGCCCCGUCGCCGUCCGACCUCACCACCGCCUCCGCCGCUCGACGCCGCACCCACCCAUCACUUCCCCUUCACCGGAGACUCGCCGGAGAGCCGCCACCGCCGACGCCCGAGACCGUCGCCGCCGUCCUCUGCUUUUGGUGAGCACGCACGCACAGGAGGUCCUCCAACCAAUCACGUGCUGCCAGGUGGCAACCAACUACAGUACACGCACGAACAGUGCAGGAGUUUUCUGUUGUUUUUGUUUUUCUUUCCAGAUUUGUUCUCUAACUUCUUUUAGCUAUAUCUUUUAGUCUAUAUACUCAAUUUAGGUAAUUCUUUUUCCUAUGCACUCACAAAUACCAGUAGUUUAUCACAGUACCAACUUUGCACAUUUUUGCACUGUUCAAAUUUGAAUUCGUUUGAAUUUGAAUUAAACCUUUCGGAGGCCGUAUCUUUCAAACCGCUUAUCGAAUUCGAGUGAUUCUUUUUGCAUUGUGACCGUAGUGCAAUUUAGGUGCUGUUAAGCUUCUGUUGUUGAGUUUUAACAUGGUUUUCUUGCUGUUGGUUUUGUUUUGGUUCUAUUCAUGUUCCGAUGAUUGAUUUGUUGAAUUGUGUGAAACGUGUAGAUUGUCCGGAGUGCGACGCGAGCUAUUGUCAAGAGUGUGACUUUCUGAACCAGAACCAAGGCAAGUUACAUGUUGAUCAUCCUUUACCUAUUUUUUUCUAUGCAUGUAGUUAUAUCACACUAUGAAUAUAUGCAUGUAUAGGAUUGUUAUAUUUUUGCUAUAUUGUUGAGCUAUCUCCCGUCAUUGCAGAUCGUGGUAGUUGUAGUUUUGCUAUGCUUUGUAGACGGGGUUGGUUCAAGUAUUCAUUGAGCUUAUGUGAGGAUUAUAUAUUUAACAAAUUGAGUAGUAACUCAGGAUUUAACUCACCUCUGGGCGGAAGUGGUAUUGCUUGGUGUUGAGGGAAGGCAUCAUGGGGUCUUGCACCUUUUCUAAGGCCAUGCACUCAUGAGAGUGCACCCUAAGUGGAAUGCCGCCCAGGUUCAAAAAGAUCAGACAGACUUAGUGACUAGUAGCUUCCAUGUGCGGCCACUGGCUAUAUGGGCUCUGGCUUAGUUGAUCAGUUGUUGGAACCCUGGCCCAGACAGUGUCGACAGAUGUAGCAUAUAUAGGUGGGAUGUGGCCGUCAGAUGGUUAAGGGGACCCCUUCUGAAAGACUUCGUCUCAAUCUUCGGAUUGGGUCCAGUGGGUAAAGCGUACAAAACUCUGAAGAGUAUUAAAACUAAUCAUGAUUAGCCGUGCCCCCGGUUAUGGGUAAAUCUGAGCCACUAUGCCAUUACAGUUGUUGGAUGAUCUUGACAGAUGUGACACUUAAUAAAUUUGUUGGGCAACUUAAUAAAGGGUAGGUUGGAGUUGAUUUUGCCAACUCAACCUUGUGUAUAUAAUUGUAGUAAUAAAAGAACUAAA